rnacentral:rRNA from 1 species
GUCCAGACUCCUACGGGAGGCAGCAGUGGGGAAUAUUGCACAAUGGGGGGAACCCUGAUGCAGCGACGCCGCGUGGGUGAAGAAGUCAUUCGUGACGUAAAGCCCUAUCAGCAGGGAAGAAAAUGACGGUACCUGACUAAGAAGCCCCGGCUAACUACGUGCCAGCAGCCGCGGUAAUACGUAGGUGGCAAGCGUUAUCCGGAUUUACUGGGUGUAAAGGGCGUGUAGCCGGGCUGACAAGUCAGAUGUGAAAUCCGGGGGCUCAACCCCCGAACUGCAUUUGAAACUGUUGGUCUUGAGUAUCGGAGAGGCAGGCGGAAUUCCUAGUGUAGCGGUGAAAUGCGUAGAUAUUAGGAGGAACACCAGUGGCGAAGGCGGCCUGCUGGACGACAACUGACAGUGAGGCGCGAAAGCGUGGGGAGCAAACAGGAUUAGAUACCCGUGUA